UACGUAGGGGCAAGCGUUGUCCGGAUUUAUUGGGCGUAAAGCGCGUGUAGGUGGCCAAGUAGGUCCGCUGUGAAAACUUGAGGCUCAACCUCAAGCUGUCGGUGGAAACCCCUUGGCUAGAGUCCGGAAGAGGAGAGUGGAAAUUCCUGGUGUAGCGGUGAAAUGCGCAGAUAUCAGGAAGAACACCAAUAGGCGAAGGCAGCAUCUCUGGGACGGUACUGACACUGAGACGCGAAGCGUGGGAGCGAACAAGG
rnacentral:rRNA from 1 species